UACGGGGGGGGCAAGCGUUGUUCGGAAUUACUGGGCGUAAAGGGCUCGUAGGCGGCCAACUAAGUCGGACGUGAAAUCCCUCGGCUCAACCGGGGAACUGCGUCUGAUACUGGAUGGCUUGAAUCCGGGAGAGGGAUGCGGAAUUCCAGGUGUAGCGGUGAAAUGCGUAGAUAUCGGAAGGAACACCAGUGGCGAAAGCGGCUUCCUGGUCCAGCACCGACGUUCAGGCACGAAAGCGUGGGGAGCAAACAGG
rnacentral:rRNA from 1 species